CUUUUUUGACCCUGGAAAAUUCAUCAUCAUCUCAGUGCCCCAGGAAACUCCAGUGCUAAAAGGUGCAGAAUAGAUGUGAUUGGAAUUGAUAGAAGAGUUUGAAUAUUGCCCAGACAUUGCAACCCUGAGCAAGUCAGGGAGAUUAAUUGUUAAACAUUUACCUGCGCACUGCUGGAUGAAGGUGACUGUCACUUCAGAUAAUAGAGGAAUUCACACUAUGAAACAAAGACUAUAAAGAAUACAGGGAAGUAUGGGGAGACAUAUAAACAGAUGCAAAGUGAAGAACUGGAAGAAGAUACAAAGAUAAACAGACUCUCAGUCCCUACCUUCAAGGAGCUUACCAUCUAAAAGGAUUCUCAAGACCUAACCAUGGACAAAUAGCAUAUGAAUUAGAAUCUGGCACCUUUUUCAUUUUUUAUAAAC